rnacentral:rRNA from 1 species
CCUACGGGAGACAGCAGUAGGGAAUAUUGCUCAAUGGGGGAAACCCUGAUGCAGCAACGCCGCGUGGGGGAUGAAGGUUUUCGGAUCGUACACUCCUUUUGUUCGGGAAGAUAAUGACGGUAUCUAACGAAUAAGCACCGGCUAACUCCGUGCCAGCAGCCGCGGUAAUACGUAGGGUGCAAGCGUUACUCGGAAUCACUGGGCGUAAAGAGCGCGUAGGAGGGAUUGCAAGUCAGAUGUGAAAGCCCAUGGCUUAACCAUAGAACUGCAUUUGAAACUGUUAGGCUAGAGUAUAGGAGAGGUAGGUGGAAUUCUUGGUGUAGGGGUAAAAUCCGUAGAUAGCAAGAGGAAUACUCAUGGCGAAGGCGACCUGCUAGAACGUAACUGACGCUGAGGCGCGAAAGCGUGGGGAGCAAACAGGAUUAGAUACCCUAGUAGUC